GGCGCACGGGUGCGUAACAUGUAUGCAACCUACCUUACAUUGGGGGAUAGCCUUUCGAAAGGGAGAUUAAUACCGCAUAAGACAGUAGCUGGGCAUCCAGCAGCUGUUAAAGAUUUAUCGAUGUAAGCUGGGCAUGCGUCCAAUUAGCUAGUUGGUGAGGUAACGGCUCACCAAGGCUAUGAUUGGUAGGGGAACUGAGAGGUCAAUCCCCCACACUGGCACUGAGAUACGGGCCAGACUCCUACGGGAGGCAGCAGUAGGGAAUAUUGGGCAAUGGACGCAAGUCUGACCCAGCCAUGCCGCGUGCAGGAUGGAGGCGUUAUGCGUUGUAAACUGCUUUUAUACAGGAAGAAACGACUCUUGCGAGAGGCAUUGACGGUACUGUAUGAAUAAGCACCGGCUAACUCCGUGCCAGCAGCCGCGGUAAUACGGAGGGUGCAAGCGUUGUCCGGAUUUAUUGGGUUUAAAGGGUGCGCAGGUGGUUUAUUAAGUCAGUGGUGAAAGACGGUCGCUCAACGAUUGCAGUGCCAUUGAAACUGGUAGACUUGAGUAAAGUAGAGGUGGGCGGAAUUGAUAGUGUAGCGGUGAAAUGCAUAGAUAUUAUCAAGAACUCCAAUUGCGUAGGCAGCUCACUUGGCUUUUACUGACACUCAUGCACGAAAGUGUGGGUAUCAAACAGGAUUAGAUACCCUGGUAG
rnacentral:rRNA from 1 species